CCUACGGGAGGCAGCAGUGAGGAAUAUUGGUCAAUGGGCGAGAGCCUGAACCAGCCAAGUCGCGUGAGGGAGUACUGCCCUAUGGGUUGUAAACCUCUUUUGUCGGGGAGCAAAAGCCGGACGUGUCCGGCUGUGAGAGUACCCGAAGAAAAAGCAUCGGCUAACUCCGUGCCAGCAGCCGCGGGAAUACGGAGGAUGCGAGCGUUAUCCGGAUUUAUGGGGUUUAAAGGGUGCGCAGGCGGAUUUUUAAGUCAGCGGUCAAAUCGUGGGGCUCAACCCCAUCCAGCCGUUGAAACUGGGGAUCUAGAGUGUGCGAGAGGUAUGCGGAAUGCGUGGUGUAGCGGUGAAAUGCAUAGAUAUCACGCAGAACCCCGAUUGCGAAGGCAGCAUACCGGUGCACAACUGACGCUCAGGCACGAAAGCGUGGGUAUCGAACAGGAUUAGAUACCCCGGUAGUC
rnacentral:rRNA from 1 species